rnacentral:rRNA from 1 species
CGUACCCCGUUACUUGGAACUGUGGUAAUUCUAGAGCUAAUACAUGCCGACAGAGUUCCGACCAACUGUACAGAUGUGCGACGGCCUCGGUCGUAGUCGCUGUACGGUACGGAAGGAACGCUUUUAUUAGAUCAAAACCGGCCAGACGGCGUAGCGCGUCUACGUCGUAAGCGGCCCGCGCAAAGACUUGGUGACUCUGAAUAACUUCGAGCUGAUCGCACGGUCCUCGUACCGGCGACGUAUCUUUCAAAUGUCUGCCUUAUCAACUGUCGACGGUAGGUUCGACGCCUACCGUGGUGGUAACGGGUAACGGGGAAUCAGGGUUCGAUUCCGGAGAGGGAGCCUGAGAAACGGCUACCACAUCCAAGGAAGGCAGCAGGCGCGCAAAUUACCCACUCCCAGCUCGGGGAGGUAGUGACGAAAAAUAACGAUACGGGACUCAUUAGAGGCCCCGUAAUCG